GCCCUGCCUGCCUGCCUGCCGGCGCCGCUGCCCGAGGCUCACAGACCCUCCGGAGCCGGAAUGGAAAUGAGUGUUUACACGUCAAAACGACGACAGCCAUCCUGACGUCAAGUGUACCUGGCCCCCGAGCCGGGGGGAGACAUCACCAUGAGAGUGGAUGUGCUUCUGGGCAUCUCCAUGGACCCACAGGGAUCAGGGGACUGUAAUCACUGCCACUGCUCUGCCAGCUGUGAGAGUAGGAGCCUCAAAUAACAGGGAUAUGAACGGAUCCACGAGAGGGGUAAAGGGAGCCAGCACUGCAAAGCAAUUGGAGGACGGCGUAAAAGAGGCCAUAUGUGCAGGCAAUCACAGAGGAUAAGGGGGAACACCUGUUUUUCCAUCAAUUACAGCCUGCGAGCUCGCGGGGCAUAUUUAUUCUGGGGGCAUUACAUUUGCCUGGGUAAUAGCGCAUGACACAUUUCCAGCUUUACAGCAGACGAGCCCUGGGAAGGAGCUAUUCGUGUCUGUACAAAUGAAACACAAACAUGCCCUCCCGGCCAUACACGUGGUUAAAACAGCGGCCCUAAUGACACCGGGAGCCACCCGGGGCCAGCAGGAAGCAGCUUGUGGCCACCGGGGUGGCUCUGUUUGCUCUGCUGGCUGAAGCCAACCCGAGCAAAAAGCCCUGGGAAAAUGCAUAGGUGGGGUUGUAGGAGAGGUGUAUGCCCUGGGGGAAAUGGUAAUAAUCUCUCUAUUUGGUAAGGACAAAGUCCAACUCAAGCGUUUUCCUGAUGGCAAUUGAAAAAAAUUGUUAUUGGGGUUUAAAUAUAUAUAUGUAUAUAUAUAUAUAUAUAUAUAUAUAUAUAUGUAUAUAUAUAUAUAUAAAAUUUUUUUUUUAAAGCUUGAUAAAAGAAGUGAGCAAAAAAAGGAAACAUUUUAAGGAAUUAUUAUAUCACCUGUAUCUGCCAAGCCGACGUUUUAAUUUAAAUUUAAAUUUAAAUUUCUUCAUACUCGUGUUACACUCGCAAUAAUAUUUUAUUCAUGGUAAUGGUUUUAUUGUCCUUGCUUGCGAGCUCUCCAAUAAAUCCCUAUAGAAGGAUGAAUAAAUUCAUAAAUCUGCUGUUGAUUUAUUUUAAUAAGAGCAUAAUUAAUAUUUAGCCUUGUUGAGAACGUUUCUGAGAAUUCAAAAUUACUGUUUUAGUUACAUGUUUAUUUUUUUAAGGGGGUGGUUUUGUAUGAGUAUUUUUAGAAGACUAAGUACAUUGAUUAAUUAUUUUAAAUGGCUCUUAUGCUGUGUUCUUCCUCGUCAUGUUCCAUUUCAAGUAGGAUGAAACAGAAGAGACCGGAAAGAACAAAGAGCAUGAAUACAUGAGAGAAGAGAAAAAAUAUAUGGAAAAACAGAUUAAACCCCAUUCAGAGCUAUAUAAAAAGCUGCGUUUAAAAAAUAUCUUAUCAUUUUCUCUCUCUUUCCCUUUUUUUUUUUUUUUAAGUAAUGAGUGGGUAACAAAAAAUGACAAUAAAUGAUUAUUUUAGGUUAAAAUUUCAAGAAAGCUUUCUUGUUGAGGAAAGGGUUGUCUUGCUGAAGAAAACUGGGAGAAACUAAGUGUUCCUUACCAAA